GGGCCCGUAGCCUAGCCUGGAUAAGGCGUCGGCCUUCGGAGCCGAAGACCCUGGGUUCAAAUCCCAGCGGGCCCA
rnacentral:tRNA from 2 species